rnacentral:rRNA from 1 species
GAUGAACGCUGGCGGCGUGCUUAACACAUGCAAGUCGAACGAUGAAGCCCAGCUUGCUGGGUGGAUUAGUGGCGAACGGGUGAGUAACACGUGAGUAACCUGCCCUUAACUCUGGGAUAAGCCUGGGAAACUGGGUCUAAUACCGGAUAGGAGCGUCCACCGCAUGGUGGGUGUUGGAAAGAUUUAUCGGUUUUGGAUGGACUCGCGGCCUAUCAGCUUGUUGGUGAGGUAAUGGCUCACCAAGGCGACGACGGGUAGCCGGCCUGAGAGGGUGACCGGCCACACCGGGACUGAGACACGGCCCAGACUCCUACGGGAGGCAGCAGUGGGGGAUAUUGCACAAUGGGCGCAAGCCUGAUGCAGCGACGCCGCGUGAGGGAUGACGGCCUUCGGGUUGUAAACCUCUUUCAGUAGGGAAGAAGCGAAAGUGACGGUACCUGCAGAAGAAGCAUCGGCUAACUACGUG